rnacentral:rRNA from 1 species
UACGUAGGGAGCAAGCGUUGUCCGGAAUCAUUGGGCGUAAAGCGCGCGUAGGCGGCCCUGUAAGUCCGUUGUGAAAGUCAAAGGCUCAACCUUUGAAAGCCGAUGGAUACUGCAGGGCUAGAGUCCGGAAGAGGCGAGUGGAAUUCCUGGUGUAGCAGUGAAAUGCGUAGAUAUCGGAAGGAACGCCGGUGGCGAAGGCAGCUCGCUGGGACGGUACUGACGCUGGAGACGCGAAAGCGUGGGGAGCAAACAGG